rnacentral:lncRNA from 10 species
GAUCACUUGAGGUCAGCACCAGCCUGACCAACAUGAGGAAACCCUGUCUCUACUAAAAAUACAAUAAUUAGCCAGGCAUGGUGGUGGGUGCUUAUAAUCACAGCUACUUGGGAGGCUGAGGCAGGAGAAUCGCUUGAACCCAGGAGGCGGAGGUUACAGUAAGCCAAGAUCGCACCACCAGCCUGGGCAAUAGAGCAAGACUCCGUCUCUAUUUAAAAAAAAAAAAAAAACCCCAAAAACCAAAAAACAACCAAACUUGCCUAAAGCAGUGUGAACUGAGUCUAGCUAGAAUCAAAUGGCUAAAAUAGAGGCUUUUUUUUUUGUGAGAUGGAAUCUCGGUCUGUCUCCCAGGCUGAAGUGCAGUGGCACCCAGCUAAUUUUGUAUUUUUAGUAGAGAGGGGUUUCACCAUAUUGGCCAGGCUGGUCUAAAAUUCCUGACCUCGUGAUCCGCCCACCUCGGCCUCCCAAAGUGCUGGGAUUACAGGCGUGAGCCACCGUGCCCAGCCUAAAAUAUAUGCUUUUAACAUAACACUUCAAAAGUAGUCAAUUCCAAACUUAAUGUUUUCCUCCACAUGCUAACAAAAAACAUGUCAAUAAAAUAAAGGUAAUCAACUCAACACGUAUGGAAUUCAUCCCACCAGGAACGUGGCAGAAACCAGGGACAUGCAGACUGACCACAGCCUCCCUGCCCUGCCAGGCUCUCAACUGGCACAGGACUUCCAGUCACAAACUGAUGAUGUGAGAAACGAGGUACCAGGCCUAAGAAACAGGCUGAACAGACAGCAAAGAAACAUGACAGUGUCGACUUUUCGGGAUCAUUAGAUGAGUCACAAGAUGAAUGCAGAGAGAGAGCACCCAUGGCCAAUGAUGAUGGCAAAACUGACGUGAAAAUAAAAUCUCAGACAAGUCUUCAUUUGACAAUACCCUAGAUCAAUCUUCUCAGAAUCAAGAGGAAGUGAGGGACGAAAAGGGGACACAGUAGUCUCAAUCAGCUGCCCGCUCACAUGAAUGAUCACACUUCAAAGGAACCUGGACCAUCCACUUCCUUAAGAGGACACUUCUAAUGUUUGUGUGUCAAAACUUACUUGAUACAAAGAGGUUGGAUCAAAUUUCUUAUAAAGUUGUUUUAAAUUAUUGCUUUAUUCUUACUUCUGUAAAUUACGUGUAAAACAACUUAAAAUGACAAAACAGUAAAACGGCCCAGAAAUCUAGAUGAUAAAUGGUGAUAACUAUUUUUCCUGGUAUUUGAUACAAAUAUGAGUUGGAAAAGUGCUAGAACCACACUUCUUAAGCCUUCUAUAGCACUAGUUAAAUCUUCU